rnacentral:misc_RNA from 1 species
UCUCCGUAGGUGAACCUGCGGAAGGAUCAUUAUUGUUUAACCGAGGUGCGAGGGCUGUCGCUGACCCGAAAGGUCGUGCACGCCCGAGUGCCCUCACACACAUCCAUCUCACCCCUAUGUGCACCACCGCGUGGGUCCCCCUUUGGCUUGUUCGGAGGGGGGCUUACGUUUUCACACAAACUUUGUAUGCAGUGUAGAAUGUAUUUUUUGUUUUUGCGAUCACGCAAUCAAUACAACUUUCAACAACGGAUCUCUUGGCUCUC